CUGGGAGCUGCCUGCCUUCCCUGAGCACCACGCGGUCGCCGCAUUCCAGGCACUCCCGGCGCUCUCUAGCGCUCGCGGCAUUGUCUGGUGGAUCCGCCUCCUCCGCGACUUCCCUGGGAGCUCUACUAGCUUCCCGUGGCGCACCGUGGGAUCCCCGUUUCCUGUGAUUCGCUGCCUCGAAAGCCCAGCAAUAUGGAGAAGCGAUUUCAGUAUCUUAAUGGAGUUUACAACCAAAUUCAGUUCCCUUGUGGAUCAGCAAGCAAACAAGCAAAGACAGGCACUACCUAACAAGUGUCAAUCCUCAUGCCUGCCCUCUUUCUUUGUUUCUUAAUGAUCCCAGCUCCCCUUGGAUACAAUAUUCCUUCAAAAUGGUAUUAUAUGUGCACACCAGAGGGAAACCAGAAGGAC